UGUGACAUACCUAUUUGUUGCCUCGGCGGUGCCUGUUCCGACAGCCCGCCAGAGGACCCCAAACCCUGAUUACAUUUAAGAAGUCUUCUGAGUAAACCGAUUAAAUAAAUCAAAACUUUCAACAACGGAUCUCUUGGUUCUGGCAUCGAUGAAGAACGCAGCGAAAUGCGAUAAGUAAUGUGAAUUGCAGAAUUCAGUGAAUCAUCGAAUCUUUGAACGCACAUUGCGCCCGCUAGUAUUCUGGCGGGCAUGCCUGUCCGAGCGUCAUUUCAACCCUCAAGCCCCCGGGCUUGGUGUUGGGGAUCGGCGAGCCUCCGCGCCCGCCGUCCCCUAAAUCUAGUGGCGGUCUCGCUGUAGCUUCCUCUGCGUAGUAGCACACCUCGCACUGGGAAACAGCGCGGCCACGCCGUUAAACCCCCAACUUCUGAACGUUUGACCUCGGAUCAGGUAGGAAUACCCGCUGAACUUAAGCAUAUCAAUAAGCGGAG
rnacentral:rRNA from 1 species